UACGUAGGGGGCAAGCGUUGUCCGGAUUUAUUGGGCGUAAAGAGCGUGUAGGCGGUCAGGUAGGUCCGUUGAUGAAAACUCGGAGGCUCCAACCGUCGAGACGGCCGAUGGAAACCAUCUGACUAGAGUCCGGAAGAGGAGAGUGGAAUUCCUGGUGUAGCGGUGAAAUGCGCAGAUAUCAGGAAGAACACCCGUGGCUAAGGCGGCUCUCUAGUACGGUACUGACGCUGAGACGCGAAAAGCGUGGGGGAGCGAACAGG
rnacentral:rRNA from 1 species